GGAACAGUGACAGCAGCCAACAUUUGUGCCAGAGAGCCAUAGCUGAGCAGUCAGCGAAUGCCCGUGGUAGCCGUGUGCACCCUCUGCCUGUAACAGGAUAUUCUGGGACCAUUUGCUAAUAGCGGCCAUCGGAUGAGAGCCUGAUGUCCUCCCUCAGGACUGCCCUGUGAUCUGGCAGCCGCAGUUGAAGAUCAAGGCGUUUCCUUGACAGCGCUUUGUCCAGCCCACACGUCGUGUUACCGCCGCUUUGUCGCGCUCCUGGGAACCUCACAUUCAGAGCUGGCUUUUUAAUGUGGUAUUUCGAGUUCAUUAAGUCCGUGGGUCAUGGUUCUAGACUGAGUGUUUGAAUUACGCUUGUUUUAUAAUCAGAAGGGCAUGGGUGACUCCUGUUUCCCGCUUGCUGGAUGUUCAUAUAACUGCACCAUCACAGAAUACUCAGAAAGAUGUUUUAACAAUAAGUGCAAAUCUAUCAGUCUCACAGUUAACUGAAGUUACCGGGAAGUGCUUAAUGAGGAGCACUACAGCUAACGUUAGUCCUCUCACUGAGCUUCAAAUGAGGGACGAUUCCUGUGUGGAGUGGGUCCAGAGGAGGGCCACUAAGAUGAUCAGAGGGCUGGAGCACCUCUCCUAUGAAGAAAGGUUGAGGGAACUGGGCUUGUUUAGCUUGGAGAAGGCUCUGGGGAGGCCUCAUUGUGGCCAUCCAGUACUUGAAGGGAGCGUAUAAACAGGAGGGAGAAUGGCUGUUUACAAGGGUGGAUAGUGAUAGGACAGAGGUGAGUGGUCUUAAACUGAGACAGGUGAGGUUUAGGUUAGAUAUUAGGAGGAAGUUUUUCACACAGAGGAUGGUGACACACUGGAACAGGUUGCUCGAGGAGGUUGUGGAUGCCCCAUCCCUGGAGGCAUUCAAGGCCAGGCUGGAUGUGGCUCUGGGCAGCCUGGUCUGGAGGUGACCCUGCACAUAGCAGGGGGGUUGAAACUCGAUGAUCAUUGUGGUCCUUUUCAACCCAGGCCAUUCUACAAUUCUAUGUGAUCCUAUCAAAAUGCACGGUCCCUCUAACCGUUGACAUAACGCAUACAGGGUACCCUGUUGCCGAC
ensembl:lncRNA